rnacentral:rRNA from 1 species
UACAGAGGGGGCAAGCGUUAUUCGGAAUUAUUGGGCGUAAAGGGCGCGUAGGCGGCUUGGCAAGUGGAUGGUGAAAUCCCUCGGCUUAACCGAGGAACUGCCGUCCAAACUGCUUCGCUUGAGACCGGGAGAGGUGAGUGGAAUUCCCAGUGUAGCGGUGAAAUGCGUAGAUAUUGGGAGGAACACCAGUGGCGAAGGCGGCUCACUGGACCGGUACUGACGCUGAUGCGCGAAAAGCGUGGGGAGCAAACGGG